rnacentral:rRNA from 1 species
GACGAACGCUGGCGGCGUGCCUAAUACAUGCAAGUCGAGCGGAAGUUGGAGAGCUUGCUCUUCAACUUUAGCGGCGGACGGGUGAGUAACACGUGGGCAACCUGCCCUGCAGAUCGGGAUAACUCCGGGAAACCGGUGCUAAUACCGAAUAGUUUUCGCCACCUCCUGGUGGCGUACGGAAAGACGGUUUCGGCUGUCACUGCAGGAUGGGCCCGCGGCGCAUUAGGUAGUGGGUGGGGUGACGGCCCACCAAGGCGACGAUGCGUAGCCGACCUGAGAGGGUGAUCGGCCACACUGGGACUGAGACACGGCCCAGACUCCUACGGGAGGCAGCAGUAGGGAAUCUUCCGCAAUGGACGAAAGUCUGACGGAGCAACGCCGCGUGAGUGACGAAGGUUUUCGGAUCGUAAAACUCUGUUGUGAGGGAAGAACAAGUACCAACUAACUACUGGUACCUUGACGGUACCUCACCAGAAAGCCACGGCUAACUACGUGCCAGCAGCCGCCGUAACAC